AAGCGGUGAAAUAUAACAGCGUACCGGAAUGCCCUGUUAUAUGAAGCUUUCAGUAGGGGUUCUUCAACAACCUCAAACUGAUGUAGACAAACGUCGAAAGAAAAUACAGAAG
rnacentral:sRNA from 12 species